AGCUGGCAAUUAGCAGGAAAGGCCUCUAAAUCCCUGCACUGAGAGCCUGCUUGCCUUCCUAAGAACAUAAAUGUGCUAAAGAUAGCAAGGGGAAAGCUGUGCUUUCUGGAAGCUGUUGUGAGAAAACCCCACAAGGGAGGACUAAAGAAAAGCAAGGUAGAUGUGUAGAGUGCCUUCUGCUCGACAGGCAAUUGAUUUGCACGUGGCUGUAAUUACCAUCACUGAUGGUGUCGGAGAUGAGCUUCCCCACCAGGGUCCUGUCAAUCACCACUUUCUCCAGCUGUGGCCCAGAAAGGCUUAGGGACACCAAUAUACCUGAGUGAAAGAGGAGCUAAAUCCAAAUAGCAAGAAAACAAGACAUCAAGAAUCAUUAAUAAAGUGAAACGUUCCAAGGACAAAACCUUAAAGGACAUCUGACAUGACAGGGAAUAUUGAAAUACUGACUAUAUAUAUUCAUCAAAGAAAUGUAUGGUAAGAUUUUGGCAGGAUGGGAAAUUAUCAUUUGUUCUUAAAAAAAUAAUUCCCUAUCACAGGUAUUUUUUGUUUCUAUUUCAGACACCACUAGAAUUUAUUUUCAAACUUCCUUAUAUCUAACCUAAAUCUCCCCUGUUUAAGUUUGAACCCAUUAUCCCUUGUCCUACCGCUAAUCAUAACUGUCUGAAGAACUCAGUUGAAAAAGCGAUCGUUGAAACCCAGAAGCUGACAAACUAUGACACAAACAACGAUCAAGCAAAAUUCCACAAAUAUUCUAGAAAGAUCAGUUCUAAAUUUCUGCAUGAAUAUCAUCCUGCCAGAUAAAACACCCCAAAUCCUUCAGUGUUAUAUGUGAACAAGAGAGCUGGUGCGGUCAGCAAAAAAACUCUACAACUUGUGUCUUCCACAACACCUUUGCUUGCAAAUUAUGUUCUUCUCUCAGAAGAAGCUAUUGCAAUGGUAGGUUGUUUCCAUGCUUCCUUUUCUUGCAGGGAAAGAACAAACUGGAGUUAAUCUGGGAGAACAACUGAAGUGAAUCAGAAGGCUGUAGUCUCCAGGUUUACCUGACAUAUAUACCACACAUCCAUGCAAGGAAGUGAGAGAUGAAACACAGGAAAAAAUGUGGUUUGAUCUGUAGGUGGUUAAUGAUCUUUAAUGACUGUGUCAUGGAAUGAGUCCACAUGCUUGUCCUUCUGCUGACAUCUAAUCUAUGUCAUCCAUAUAUGCUGCAUGGACAUAUGUUUGCAAACUUUUGGCUUGAGAGCAACAAAUAACAUUAGGAUUAUUUAACUCUUAAAUGUUUCAAUGUGCAAAUUCACUUUAUGCCUAUAUGUUCAUUUCCUGGUAAUGACAUGGAUCACACCUGUUACAGAGCUAGAAUACAGAUCUAUGGAAACUGCUCCAGUGUCUGAUGAUGAGACACUUAUACAAAUAUAAAAUACUGUAGUAAUGGGAUUGCUUUGUUUUACAUCUGUGAAACCAGUCAUUAAACCAAUGCUAUGUAUUUUCACUAUCUCAGAUCUCUCUCUAUGCUAUCAGUAUGGCAUGACAUAAUAAUACAAAGUUGGUAAAAUAUAUAUUUUAUAUGUAAUAUAUAAUUUCCAUGUCUUUUCUUGUUUCUCCUAUUGUACUCCCUCCUUCUUUAUUUUUACAGUAAAAUAUUCUUUCCCAUUAUUCUCCACAAUUUUUCCUAUAGUAACUUACCAUGGUUUGUAAUACACCUGUGCCCUACACGGUCUAAGUCCUUCCCUUUAGGAACUGUAGUCUAAAUUUAAAAAGUAAAUUAGAGACUUUACACACUGUAUGACCAUGUAAGGUCAGUAUUCCUUCCACCUCCCUUUAAAAAUCCAUUGCAUUAGGAUAGGGGCUUUUUAAAAAGUAGUUCUUAAAGCUUAAAGGUUACCAUGAAGUACAAGUAGGUAUUUCAAUAAAGCAGGGACAUUGUUGAGUCACCAUCCCUGGAGAUAUUAAAAAGACCUGCAGAUGUGGCACUGAGGGACAUGGUUUAGUGGCAGACUUGCUAGUGUUAGCUGAAUGGUUGGACUUGAUGAUCUUAAGGGUUUUUUCCAACCUAAAUGAUUCUAUGAUUCUGUAUUAUCUGUCAUCAAUAAUAUUCUGUAAAAGAGAAAAUACGUAUAUGUUCAAAUUGAAACAUCAAUAUUUCAAUUCUUUACCAUGUAGUCUAUGCAAAGACUGUUAUAUGAUAAGAUUUAGGUACUAUUAUACAUAAGCUUGCAUAGUUAAGCUCGUAUUUUGGUAGAUGGGAGCAGUCCAAUCAUAAGCAUGAAUGAAUAUAAAGCAAAUGGGGAAGACUGCAAACUUGGCUUGAACACAGAUACACAGUUAUCCAACUCCAAAAAGUACUGCUCAAGGGAAUUGCUCGUCAUCACUAAGGAAUAAACGCAAAUGGAAGAGGCAUUAUUUACAUAAAGCACAAAAUCAUUCCAUCUAACAGAUAUCAUAUUAGGGAAAGAAACUUGCGAUAAUGAAACACUUCACAAAUUUUUCAAACUAAAGUACUGCAAUGUGAAAAAUAGAAAGCAAAAGAAUCACCUCCACAGCUUUAACAGUCUCCAGGUGUUAAUAAACAAAUUAUGAAUGCAUGAUUUCAUACCUAUUGGAACAACAGGCAUAGCUUUUGAACUUGUAUUUGAGUAAAGUGUUUGGGCAUCUGCUCAUUCUACAUGCUGGGAUGGAAGGGCCACUUAAUUUCUGUGUUAUUGAAGAGUUGAAUGUGAAGACUUUGAUAGAAGGAAUUAUGUACUUUGUGUGCCAAAAAUGGUUAUCCAGUGAGCGAGAAACACAUAAGAGGAACAGCGGAUACUCAGAGGAAGACUUAGCUCUUCCCCAAUAGCAAAGUGCUCCAAUACGCAUCUGAGUAACCUUUUAUUAAGCAAAAGACUUAAGUACAGGCUCAUGACCAGUGGACUCCAGUAGAACUUAAGCAUGUACUUAAGUGGAUUCCUUUAUCCUUGGAAGCCUUAGCCCUCACUCCUCAUUCAUGCAGCUCAGCUGCUUAUCAGCCCUUCUACCUAAAAAGAUACCUGCAGAGCAAAGCCAGGAUUUGCUUCUAUCUGAUUAAAAUUGGAAGAGAAUGAAAAUAUGCCUGUAAAAAAUACUGCUGCAAACUGUUUUCCCUUACAGAGCCCAACCGACAAAGGAAUAUGCAAAAGGAGAAGAGAAUUGCAAAGCAUUUCUUGUUCAAGCAGGUUCCCAGGGUUUUUCCCCACCUCUUCAUUCCAGAUUGCUUUCUUAGCCACCCUACCAUAAUUACUGUUGCAUGCCUUAUUACAGAUGAAGUUAUUGUUGUUACACGUUACUGUUUCACAAUAAUCGAUGCAUUUGUACUUCUAGCUUCAAAUCUCGAAAACCACACAUUAAUGGUUCUGAUCAAAAGCAACCGAAAUAAUUUAGUAUGAGGGCUGUGUUCCUCUUAGUAACAGAUGAUAGGUACCAGCGUCUCAUGUAUUCUAGCCAGGAUGUCUUGAUUUUGAUACCAGAAGUGUUACUGUGUGUCAUCACAUAUCUUGCUAAAUCAUCUUGCUGAUGGGCAUUGUAGCUGAUAUAACAAGCCACGUCAGCAAAUACUGCUGUGUACCUCAAUGCAGAAUCCAGUUCUAAGUAUGCCAAUGAUGGCAACAUAAAACCCAUUCACAAACGUAAAUUGCAACACAAAUAAAAUUAAAUCAAACUAAUUUAGCAAAGAAUAUAUAAAUCUUUUCCAUUAGCAGGUAACAGAUAUGAUUCACAGCUAGUGCUUGGCAUUUAUACAAUAAUUCAGUGUUGGCAUGUGUUUUAAUUCUACAUCGUAAUGCAAAUGUAGAACUACAAAAAGUUGGAAAUAAAAUCUUUUGGCUAGAUCUCA